AAUGAUGGAACCAACAUACGUACACUCCUCUCUAUUUCCUAGCCCUUAUCCCCCCCUUUCACUCUAUGUUCAUGGAACUAAACCCUAGACCCAUGAAUCACUGGUCAAUUGUCCACACUUUUAUCUUUCAUCAUCACUAACCUACCUAAAUAGAUAGAGAUAAGACUUCCUACUAUUUAUGUGGAUCCUUCAUCUUUUCUUUUUCUUAGUAUCAUGGAAAC
rnacentral:lncRNA from 1 species